AGAGUUUGAUCCUGGCUCAGGAUGAACGCUGGCGGCGUGCCUAACACAUGCAAGUCGAGCGAUGAACAGAUGGACAAGGCUUCGGCCAAGGAAAUCUGUUCAGAGCGGCGGAUGGGUGAGGAACGCGUGGGGAACCUGCCUUUCACCGGGGGAUACCAGCUGGAAACGGCUGUUAAUACCGCAUAUGCUCACAGUGCCGCAUGGCACAGGGAGGAAAACUCCGGUGGUGAAAGAUGGACCCGCGUCGGAUUAGUUAGUUGGUGAGGUAACGGCCCACCAAGACAAUGAUCCGUAGCCGGCCUGAGAGGGCGACCGGCCACAUUGGGACUGAGACACGGCCCAAACUCCUACGGGAGGCAGCAGUGGGGGAUAUUGCACAAUGGGGGAAACCCUGAUGCAGCGACGCCGCGUGAAGGAAGACGUAUUUCGGUAUGUAAACUUCUAUCAGCAGGGAAGAAAAUGACGGUACCUGACUAAGAAGCCCCGGCUAACUACGUGCCAGCAGCCGCGGUAAUACGUAGGGGGCAAGCGUUAUCCGGAUUUACUGGGUGUAAAGGGAGCGUAGACGGCAUGGCAAGUCUGGUGUGAAACUCCCGGGCUUAACCCCGGACUUGCAUUGGAAACUGUCNNGCUUGAGUACUGGAGGGGGCNAGGNNGNAUUNCUGGUGUAGCGNUGAAAUGCGUAGAUAUC
rnacentral:rRNA from 1 species